UACAGAGGUCCCGAGCGUUGUUCGGAUUCACUGGGCGUAAAGGGUGCGUAGGUGGUGAGGUAAGUCGGAUGUGAAAUCUCCAAGCUCAACUUGGAAAUGGCAUUGGAAACUACCUUGCUGGAGGUUUGGAGGGGGGACUGGAAUUCUCGGUGUAGCAGUGAAAUGCGUAGAUAUCGAGAGGAACACCUGCGGCGAAGGCGGGUUGCUGGGCUGAUACUGACGCUGAGGCGCGAAAGCCAGGGGAGCGAACGGG
rnacentral:rRNA from 1 species